ACUACUGGGCAUAUGCACAUCAUUAUAGCAUACUUUUUCUCACACUCAACAACUAAGCUAAGCAGGGUUGAGCCUGGUCAGUACCUGGAUGGGAGACCUCCUGGGAAAACUAGGUUGCUGUUGGAA
rnacentral:rRNA from 1 species